rnacentral:lncRNA from 1 species
GGAUGUGACAUAACUUGGAAUACAUCAAAGUUCACUUCUUCAUCUUGCACCUGGACCUUAAGCUUCCCUUUUUCCACAUCAAUGACAAUUCUGGAGGUUUUCAUGAAGGGUCGCCCCAUAAUUAGAGGUGCAUCCCCAUUUUCUUCAGCAAUUCCAAAAGGGUAUUUGAGGGAUCUGUCCGCUAAUUGGAGAACCAUUCUUGUUUGUUUGAGCUCU